AGUGAACGCUGGCGGUAGGCCUAACACAUGCAAGUCGAACGGCAGCACAGUAAGAGCUUGCUCUUACGGGUGGCGAGUGGCGGAUGGGUGAGGAAUACAUCGGAAUCUACUUUUUCGUGGGGGAUAACGAAGGGAAACUUACGCUAAUACCGCCUACGACCUACGGGUGAAAGCAGGGGAUCUUCGGACCUUGCGCGAUUGAAUGAGCCGAUGUCGGAUUAGCGAGUUGGCGGGGUAAAGGCCCACCAAGGCGACGAUCCGUAGCUGGGCUGAGCGGAUGAUCAGCCACUCUGGAACUGAGACACGGUCCAGACUCCUACGGGAGGCAGCAGUGGGGAAUAUUGGACGAUGGGCGCAAGCCUGAUCCAGCCAUACCGCGUGGGUGAAGAAGGCCUGCGGGUUGUAAAGCCCUUUUGUUGGGAAAGAAAAGCAGCAGGUUAAUACCCCGCUGUUCUGACGGUACCCAAAGAAUAAGCACCGGCUAACUUCGUG
rnacentral:rRNA from 1 species